ensembl:ncRNA ZK662.7 ncRNA
CCCAGUUUUUUAGCACCUUUUGCGACGGGGAACCCCUCGGCGAUCACACUUUGUUUGGGCAAUAGGGAGCGCGAGGUGGAGGAGGGCUAUUGAAAUUGCGUGGUGGUGCUUUUCAUUGAGACCUCUUUG